CAGUAGCCGCGGGAAUACGUAUGGGGCGAGCGUUGUCCGGAAUUACUGGGCGUAAAGGGUACGUAGGCGGCCUAUUAAGUCAGGUGUGAAAGCGUGAGGCUUAACCUCAUUAAGCACUUGAAACUGGAAGGCUUGAGUGAAGGAGAGGAAAGUGGAAUUCCUAGUGUAGCGGUGAAAUGCGUAGAUAUUAGGAGGAAUACCGGUGGCGAAGGCGACUUUCUGGACUUUUACUGACGCUCAGGUACGAAAGCGUGGGGAGCAAACAGGAUUAGAUACCCCAGUAGUCCCUGUCUCUUAUACA
rnacentral:rRNA from 1 species